CCUACGGGAGGCAGCAGUGGGGAAUAUUGCACAAUGGGGGAAACCCUGAUGCAGCGACGCCGCGUGAGUGAAGAAGUAUUUCGGUAUGUAAAGCUCUAUCAGCAGGGAAGAAAAUGACGGUACCUGACUAAGAAGCCCCGGCUAACUACGUGCCAGCAGCCGCGGUAAUACGUAGGGGACAAGCGUUAUCCGGAUUUACUGGGUGUAAAGGGAGCGUAGACGGCGCGGCAAGACUGAAGUGAAAGGCAGGGGCUUAACCCCUGAACUGCUUUGGAAACUGGAUAGCUUGAGUACUGGAGAGGCAGGCGGAAUUCCUAGUGUAGCGGUGAAAUGCGUAGAUAUUAGGAGGAACACCAGUGGCGAAGGCGGCUCUCUGGUCUGCAACUGACGCUGAGGCUCGAAAGCAUGGGUAGCGAACAGGAUUAGAUACCCCUGUAGUC
rnacentral:rRNA from 1 species